rnacentral:rRNA from 1 species
CACGUAGGGGGCAAGCGUUGUCCGGAUUUAUUGGGCGUAAAGAGCUCGUAGGCGGUCUGUCGCGUCGGCUGUGAAAACCUGGGGCUCAACUCCAGGCCUGCAGUCGAUACGGGCAGACUAGAGUUCGGUAGGGGAGACUGGAAUUCCUGGUGUAGCGGUGAAAUGCGCAGAUAUCAGGAGGAACACCGGUGGCGAAGGCGGGUCUCUGGGCCGAAACUGACGCUGAGGAGCGAAAGCGUGGGGAGCGAACAGG